rnacentral:rRNA from 1 species
UACAGAGGUCCCAAGCGUUGUUCGGAUUCACUGGGCGUAAAGGGUGCGCAGGUGGGUUUGCAAGUUUGAUGUGAAAGCCCCGGGCUUAACCCGGGAAUGGCAUUAAAUACUGCAGAUCUGGAGGAUUGGAGGGGGGACUGGAAUUCUUGGUGUAGCAGUGAAAUGCGUAGAUAUCAAGAGGAACACCAGUGGCGAAGGCGAGUCCCUGGACAAUACCUGACACUGAGGCACGAAAGCUAGGGGAGCAAACAGG